UCUACUUAUUCACUAUGCGUUUGAAGUAAUGAUACAAUAUGGAAAUAUUCACUGAUAAGAUCUUGUUACUAAUCGAUAUAACCUUGCUUGUAGAGUAAAAUUAUCCGAAAUUGCCAUGCAUAUAUGUAUCUCUCGAUGUUCGGUAGGAACGCGAAUUAGCAAUGAGUCCUGUAAUCCUGUUCGCAGCCAGUUCAGCUCGAACACGUCGGCGCAAGGUGGUUACAUGCGUGUCCACGAGAGGACACAUCCAGCGGAGGACGUUUACCUCGGUUGGCAAACAUCUUUCUUGCUGUAUGUACCACAAUCAGGGCAUGUUUCUGCUGUAAGCCGUAUCGUUGAUACCGUAAUUAAUAGGCCGAACGUAUUAUCUGAGGUUGAACGUCCUAUCUCGACGCAGCAAACAGCGAAGUUUCUCGAAAGUUAAAAAAAAAUAAGGAAGAACUACGUUGUGAAAAACAAAGCGUUGUGCUUGCCUCUUGCGACAGUAAAUACAGCUAUAAAUACAGUACAUAUUUGCUGAAAGAUAAUCAAUAAAUAGCCGUUUUUAUA